rnacentral:rRNA from 1 species
AACGCGAAGAACCUUACCUGGCCUUGACAUGUAUCUAGUAGAAGGGUGAAAGCCCGACGAGAUAGCAAUAUCAGGAUACACAGGUGCUGCAUGGCUGUCGUCAGCUCGUGUCGUGAGAUGUUGGGUUAAGUCCCGCAACGAGCGCAACCCUUAUGUCCUGUUGCCACUUGAACGAGAGUUCGAAGCACUCUGGACAGACCGCCUCGCUUAAACGAGGAGGAAGGUGGGGAUGACGUCAAGUCAGUAUGGCCCUUACGGCCAGGGCUGCACACGUACUACAAUGCCCGGUACAAAGGGAAGCAAGAGCGUAAGCUGGAGCAAAUCCCCCAAAACCGGGCCCAGUUCGGAUUGUCGUCUGCAACUCGACGGCAUGAAGCUGGAAUCGCUAGUAAUGGCGCAUCAGCUACGGCGCCGUGAAUACGUUCCCGGGCCUUGUACACACCGGAGUGC